CGUAGGUGGCAAGCGUUGUCCGGAUUUAUUGGGCUUAAAGGGUGCGUAGGCGGUUAUAUAAGUCAGUGCUGAAAUAUCCCGGCUUAACCGGGAGGGUGGCAUUGAUACUGUAUGACUUGAGUAAAGUUGAGGUUGGCGGAAUUGACGGUGUAGCGGUGAAAUGCUUAGAUAUCGUCAAGAACACCGAUUGCGAAGGCAGCUAACUAAGCUUUAACUGACGCUGAGGCACGAAAGUGUGGGGAUCAAACAGGAUUAGAUACCCUGGUAGUCCACACUGUAAACGUUGAUUACUCGCUGUUGGCGAUACACAGCCAGCGGCUAAGCGCAAGCGAUAAGUAAUCCACCUGGGGAGUACGCCGGCAACGGUG
rnacentral:rRNA from 1 species